AUUGAACGCUGGCGGCAUGCUUUACACAUGCAAGUCGAACGGCAGCGCGGGCUUCGGCCUGGCGGCGAGUGGCGAACGGGGGAGGAAUGCAUCGGAACGUGCCCAGGAGUGGGGGAUAGCCCGGCGAAAGGCGGAUUAAUACCGCAUACGACCUGAGGGUGAAAGCGGGGGAGCGAAAGGCCUCGCGCUAUUGGAGCGGCCGAUGUCGGAUUAGCUAGUUGGUGGGGCAAAGGCUUACCAAGGCGACGAUCCGUAGCUGGUCUGAGAGGACGACCAGCCACACUGGGACUGAGACACGGCCCAGACUCCUACGGGAGGCAGCAGUGGGGAAUUUUGGACAAUGGGGGCAACCCUGAUCCAGCCAUGCCGCGUGCGGGAAGAAGGCCUUCGGGUUGUAAACCGCUUUUGUUCGGGAAGAAAUCCUCUGGGCUAAUACCCCGGGGGGAUGACGGUACCGGAAGAAUAAGCACCGGCUAACUACGUG
rnacentral:rRNA from 1 species